AAUUCUUAAGGGCUUGUUUACAAAGCCUCUAGAUUCUGGAUUCUAGAAUCCAGUGAACUCAAUUCCAUAGUUAUUUCCUUCUGGCAAGACCUACAGGUCUUGCUAGAUGGAGGGUGUGGUAGAGAUGGUUAUGCUGAAGUCUGAGAAUUAGCCAUGGACAGCUGCAUCAACACAUCUCACCUUCAUCUGAAGAAUUCAUAAUGCUAUCCUUAAAAUCUGGAACAAACAAGCAUGCAAUUGUGACAACCAGAAGACUUGGAAGAGGGACUAGUUUCUAUGAGGCCACACCGAAGGACCGAAUCAGUUGUAUUGUGAAGGUUUUUGCCUAUGUGGCAUUUCUUUUUAUUUUGAAUUUGCUGCUUGGUUAGAAGGUAGAGAUGAAUGGUAUAAUAAAAGCACCUGGCUAGAUCCAGCCUCAUUUUCCUUAUGAAA